rnacentral:rRNA from 1 species
CGCGUAGGCGGUCUGGUCAGUCGGAUGUGAAAGCCCCGGGCUUAACCUGGGAACUGCAUUCGAUACUGCCAAACUAGAAUGUUGGAGAGGGAAGUGGAAUUUCCGGUGUAGCGGUGAAAUGCGUAGAGAUCGGAAGGAACACCAGUGGCGAAGGCGGCUUCCUGGCCAAACAUUGACGCUGAGGUGCGAAAGCGUGGGUAGCGAACA